CAAAGACGGUGCUUACCUCAGCACCGUCUUUGAAUGUAGGCAUUCUAAGACGUUGCUGACAUAAGCACCGUCUUAGAAUGCUGACUUUCAAAGACGUUGCUGAUAUAAGCACCGUCCUU
rfam:Glycine soja cultivar W05 scaffold629_17, whole genome shotgun sequence.